ACUCAAAUGAAUAGACGGGGGCCCACACAAGCGGUGGAGCAUGUGGCUUAAUUCGAGGCUACGCGCAGAACCUUAUCCCGGGCUCGACAUGCACGGAUUAGCGCGCGGAAACGCGCGUGACGCCGCGAGGUGGAACGUGCACAGGUGCUGCAUGGCUGUCGUCAGCUCGUGUCGCGAGAUGUUGGGUUCAGUCCCAUAACGAGCGAAACCCCUGUGGUCAGUUGCCAGCGGGUCAUGCCGGGCACUCUGGCCAGACUGCCGGCGUCAAGCCGGAGGAAGGCGGGGACGACGUCAAGUCCUCAUGGCCCCCAUGCCCGGGGCUGCACACGUGCUACAAUGGGGCGCACAAUGCGCUUGCCAGGCCGCGAGGCCGAGCCAAUCGCCAAAGCGCCCCCCAGUUCGGAUUGCAGGCUGCAACCCGCCUGCAUGAAGUUGGAAUCGCUAGUAAUCGCGGAUCAGAACGCCGCGGUGAAUGCGUACCUGGGCCUUGUACACACCGCCCGU
rnacentral:rRNA from 1 species